rnacentral:rRNA from 1 species
UUCUACGGGAGGCAGCAGUAGGGAAUCUUCCGCAAUGGGCGAAAGCCUGACGGAGCAACGCCGCGUGAGUGAUGAAGGUCUUCGGAUCGUAAAACUCUGUUAUUAGGGAAGAACAAAUGUGUAAGUAACUAUGCACGUCUUGACGGUACCUAAUCAGAAAGCCACGGCUAACUACGUGCCAGCAGCCGCGGUAAUACGUAGGUGGCAAGCGUUAUCCGGAAUUAUUGGGCGUAAAGCGCGCGUAGGCGGUUUUUUAAGUCUGAUGUGAAAGCCCACGGCUCAACCGUGGAGGGUCAUUGGAAACUGGAAAACUUGAGUGCAGAAGAGGAAAGUGGAAUUCCAUGUGUAGCGGUGAAAUGCGCAGAGAUAUGGAGGAACACCAGUGGCGAAGGCGACUUUCUGGUCUGUAACUGACGCUGAUGUGCGAAAGCGUGGGGAUCAAACAGGAUUAGAUACCCUGGUAGUCCACGCCGUAAACGAUGAGUGCUAAGUGUUAGGGGGUUUCCGCCCCUUAGUGCUGCAGCUAACGCAUUAAGCACUCCGCCUGGGGAGUACGACCGCAA